ACAGUGGGGAAAGGACCGGAAAUAUUUCAAGCCAAAUUCGAACUUGUGUUGUCGAUAUGAUCACCACAGUACCUGAACAACAACUACCAGCAUUGUUUCUGAAGCUCUGCCACACCCUCACGUUGCCCGGGGCUCUAUGGGUUACCCUAUCCCACUGUCCUCAUCGAAGACAAAGACUUCCUCAGAAUCCCUCAUUGUAAGACACAUGGUAUAGGUCUCAGUUUUCUUGUUAGAUUUGGGAGGUGUGGCCUUUGAGGAUGUUUUUGCCAACAGGCAGCAUCAGCACAUCUAAAAACAAUAACUAACAGCCGUUGUCAUAUGCGUGUGUUCAAAUGUCAGAGUUAGUCUAUUCAAAGAUGCCUUCAAAUAGCCACUUACUGAGCAUUUACCUUCUAAAUUGUGUGACUGUCUGAAGCCAAGCAAGUCACAGUCAUCUCUUUGUGUGCUAUAAGGGUCUUAGUAAAUGAAGUAAAACAA